rnacentral:rRNA from 1 species
UCACCUCCUUUAGAGUUUGAUCCUGGCUCAGAACGAACGCUGGCGGCAGGCCUAACACAUGCAAGUCGAGCGCGCCCUUCGGGGUGAGCGGCGGACGGGUUAGUAACGCGUGGGAACGUGCCCAGAUCUAAGGAAUAGCCACUGGAAACGGUGAGUAAUACCUUAUACGCCCUUCGGGGGAAAGAUUUAUCGGAUUUGGAUCGGCCCGCGUUAGAUUAGGUAGUUGGUGGGGUAAUGGCCUACCAAGCCUACGAUCUAUAGCUGGUUUUAGAGGAUGAUCAGCAACACUGGGACUGAGACACGGCCCAGACUCCUACGGGAGGCAGCAGUGGGGAAUCUUGGACAAUGGGGGCAACCCUGAUCCAGCCAUGCCGCGUGAGUGAUGAAGGCCUUAGGGUCGUAAAGCUC